rnacentral:rRNA from 1 species
UACGGAGGAUCCAAGCGUUAUCCGGAUUUAUUGGGUUUAAAGGGUGCGUAGGCGGCGUUGUAAGUCAGUGGUGAAAGUUUUCAGCUUAACUGGAAAAUUGCCAUUGAUACUGCAGUGCUUGAGUACAGAUGAGGUGGGCGGAAUGUGUCAUGUAGCGGUGAAAUGCAUAGAUAUGACACAGAACACCAAUUGCGAAGGCAGCUCACUAAGCUGUAACUGACGCUGAGGCACGAAAGCGUGGGGAUCAAACAGG